UACGUAGGGUCCGAGCGUUUGUCCGGAAUUAUUGGGCGUAAAGCGCGCGCAGGCGGUCCUUUAAGUCUGAUGUGAAAGCCCACGGCUCAACCGUGGAGGGUCAUUGGAAACUGGGGGACUUGAGUGCAGGAGAGAAGAGUGGAAUUCCACGUGUAAGCGGUGAAAUGCGUAGAGAUGUGGAGGAACACCAGUGGCGAAGGCGACUCUUUGGCCUGUAACUGACUGAGGCGCGAA
rnacentral:rRNA from 1 species